rnacentral:tRNA from 1 species
CCCCGUUUAGUGUAAUGGUUAAGCACGUUCUUGUAUCACGUACAAGAAAAACGUUAGUUCGAAUCUAGCAACGGGCG